GAUGAACGCUAGCGACAGGCCUAACACAUGCAAGUCGAGGGGCAGCACAUGAGUAGCAAUACGAUGGUGGCGACCGGUGCACGGGUGAGUAACGCGUAUGCAACCUGCCUAUUAGAGGGGAAUAACAAUUAGAAAUGAUUGAUAAUACCGCAUAUGCCAUAGUCAUCACAUGAUGAUAGUGGGAAAGGAGUAAUCCGCUGAUAGAUGGGCUUACGCCUGAUUAGAUAGUUGGUAGGGUAAUGGCCUACCAAGUCUGCGAUCAGUAGCCGAACUGAGAGGUUGAACGGCCACAUUGGGACUGAGAUACGGCCCAGACUCCUACGGGAGGCAGCAGUCGGGAAUAUUGCGCAAUGGAGGAAACUCUGACGCAGUGACGCCGCGUGCAGGAAGAAGGUUUUCGGAUUGUAAACUGCUUUAGACAGGGAAGAUAAAAGACAGUACCUGUAAAAUAAGCUCCGGCUAACUACGUGCCAGCAGCCGCGGUAAUAC
rnacentral:rRNA from 1 species